rnacentral:lncRNA from 1 species
AGCACGCGCCGUCACCAUGGCAACCGAGGACGCGCGGCGCCGGCAGCCGAGCAGCCCAGCCCGGGAAGGGACGCCGUGGGCAUGCGGCGCGCCGAGGCCACGCGGGCGGCGGGGUCGCCCGAGGCCGGCCGGGACCCCCAGCCCGCGGGCCUGGGGUGCGGGGCGCGCGGGGAGCCGGGUCCCGGAGGCCCCCAGGAGCCCCGCGGGCAGUGGAAGAAAUUUUUAUACUGCGAGCCGCAUAAGAGAAUUAAGGAAGUACUGGAAGAAGAACUUUAUAUUAAGAGAGAUGAAUGCCACAUCAAAAAGCCACCUGCAGUGGCCCUGGACGGGAUUUGGAGCAUUAAGAGGGACCUCUCCGCGGGCGUGCAGCCGGGACUGCCGAGAGGGAGCGGGCUCCUGCCGCAAGCCAAGUACUACUCGAGGCACGGGGGGCCGAGAAGAUAAGAGGAAUACAUUUUUCCUUUGAGAAGAAACCUCUUUCUCCUGAUGUCUGAAAAAAGAAGAAAGUCAAGCUUAUUCCACAGUUUAAAACAUGUAAAAAAUGUAGAUUAGUCUGUAAUUCCUGUUAGUGGUAUUAGUCCCUAUCUAUAAAUUAACCCAAAGAGAUGAAAGACUACUGGUGUGCUAAGCACCCGAAAACAAAGGAGAAUCCACUUACUUUCAGUUGUCACAGUUGGAAUACAUCGGGCCUCUAAUUCAGCUUAUCCUAUUAAAUAUGUGAAACAAUAGUGAAACAAAGCCAUG